rnacentral:rRNA from 1 species
CCUACGGGAGGCAGCAGUGGGGAAUAUUGCACAAUGGGGGAAACCCUGAUGCAGCGACGCCGCGUGAGUGAAGAAGUACUUCUUUACGUAAAGCUCUAUCAGCAGGGGAGAAAAUGACGGUACCUGAGUACGACGCCCCGGCUAACUACGUGCCAGCAGCCGCGGUAAUACGUAGGGGGCAAGCGUUUUCCGGAUUUACUGGGUGUAAAGGGAGCGUAGACGGUUCGCCAAGUCUGGAGUGAAAUGCCGCAGCUUAACUGCGGAACUGCUUUGGAAACUGGCGAACUAGAGUGCGGGAGGGGUAAGCGGAAUUCCUAGUGUAGCGGUGAAAGGCGUAGAGAUUAGGAGGAACACCGGUGGCGAAGGCGGCUUACGGGACCGCAACUGACGUUGAGGCUCGAAAGCGUGGGGAGCAAACAGGAUUAGAUACCCUUGUAGUC